rnacentral:tRNA from 1 species
CGGAAAGUAGCACAAUUUGGUAGUGCACGCGGUUUGGGACCGUGAGGUUGCAGGUUCAAAUCCUGUCUUUCCGACCA